rnacentral:rRNA from 1 species
CCUACGGGAGGCAGCAGUGGGGAAUAUUGGGCAAUGGGCGCAAGCCUGACCCAGCAACGCCGCGUGAAGGAAGAAGGCUUUCGGGUUGUAAACUUCUUUUCUCAGGGACGAAGCAAGUGACGGUACCUGAGGAAUAAGCCACGGCUAACUACGUGCCAGCAGCCGCGGUAAUACGUAGGUGGCAAGCGUUAUCCGGAUUUACUGGGUGUAAAGGGCGUGUAGGCGGGAAAGCAAGUCAGAUGUGAAAACCAUGGGCUCAACCUGUGGCCUGAAUUUGAAACUGUUUUUCUUGAGUACUGGGGAGGCAGACGGAAUUCCUAGGGUAGCGGUGACAUGCGUAGAUAUUAGGAGGAACACCAGUGGCGAAGGCGGUCUGCUGGACAGCAACUGACGCUGAGGCGCGAAAGCGUGGGGAGCAAACAGGAUUAGAUACCCUAGUAGUC